rnacentral:sRNA from 1 species
ACAGCUUGGACAAAAGUCUAUAGCCAGUGCAUUCCUAGCUCCCCUUACACAGAGAGGCAGACACAGUCAGAGAGAAGACGCGCCGGGUCUCGGCUCGGCUCUCCUCUGUUAGCAGGUGAAACGCUGGAUAUCUAUGGGUCUUGGGGCCUGCAGGAAAUGGCAGGCAGUGGGAGGCUAAAAAGGCAAGGUA